UCGAGGAUCUUCGGCAAUGGGCGCAAGCCUGACCGAGCGACGCCGCGUGCGCGAUGAAGGCCUUCGGGUUGUAAAGCGCUGUCGAGGGGGAGGAAAGCCCGCAAGGGCCUGACCUAUCCCUGGAGGAAGCACGGGCUAAGUUCGUGCCAGCAGCCGCGGUAAGACGAACCGUGCGAACGUUGUUCGGAAUCACUGGGCUUAAAGGGCGCGUAGGCGGGGGACCAAGUCCGGGGUGAAAGCUUUCGGCUUAACCGGAAAAGGGCCUUGGAGACUGGUUCCCUGGAGGGAGGUAGGGGUCCGCGGAACUGCUGGUGGAGCGGUGAAAUGCGUUGAGAUCAGCAGGAACGCCGGUGGCGAAAGCGGCGGACUGGACCUCUUCUGACGCUGAGGCGCGAAAGCCAGGGGAGCGAACGGGAUUAGAUACCCCCGUAGUCC
rnacentral:rRNA from 1 species